AUUGAACGCUAGCGGCAUGCCUUACACAUGCAAGUCGAACGAGUGGCGGACGGGUGAGUAAUGUCUGGGAAACUGCCUUAUGGCGGGGGAUAACUACUGGAAACGGUAGCUAAUACCGCAUACCAUCCGAUCUUCCCAGAUGGGAUUAGCUAGUUGGUGGGGUAAAGGCUCACCAAGGCAACGAUCCCUAGCUGGUCUGAGAGGAUGACGAGCCACACUGGAACUGAGACACGGUCCAGACUCCGACUUCGAUCAACAGGAAUAAAUAUUGGACAAUGGGGGAAAGCCUGAUCCAGCCAUGCCGCGUGUAUGAUGAAGGCCUUCGGGUUGUAAAGUACUUUGAGCAGGGAAGCGUUAUCUGCAGAAGAAGCACCGGCUAACUACGUGCCAGCAGCCGCGGUAAUUC
rnacentral:rRNA from 1 species